CUGGUUGUCCAUACCACCCUGAACGCACGCGAUCUCAUCUGAUCUCAGACACUAAGCAGGGUCUGGCCUGGUUAGUUCUUGGAAUGAUUUGCUGUAACAGAACUUUAGCAAAUAUAUCAGC
ensembl:rRNA 5S_rRNA 5S ribosomal RNA